UACGGAGGGUGCAAGCGUUAAUCGGAAUUACUGGGCGUAAAGCGCACGUAGGCGGUUUUUUAAGUUGGAUGUGAAAGCCCCGGGCUCAACCUGGGAAUUGCAUUCAAGACUGGAAGACUAGAGUACGGGAGAGGGGGGUAGAAUUCCAAGUGUAGCGGUGAAAUGCGUAGAGAUUUGGAGGAAUACCAGUGGCGAAGGCGGCCCCCUGGCCCGAUACUGACGCUCAGGUGCGAAAGCGUGGGGAGCAAACAGG
rnacentral:misc_RNA from 1 species